rnacentral:rRNA from 1 species
AUGCACGCUGGCGGCGUGCCUAAUACCUGCAAGUCGAGCGCACAGACGAGGAGCUUGCUCCUCUGACGUUAGCGGCGGACGGGUGAGUAACACGUGGAUAACCUACCUAUAAGACUGGGAUAACUUCGGGAAACCGGAGCUAAUACCGGAUAAUAUAUUGAACCGCAUGGUUCAAUAGUGAAAGACGGUUUUGCUGUCACUUAUAGAUGGAUCCGCGCCGCAUUAGCUAGUUGGUAAGGUAACGGCUUACCAAGGCGACGAUGCGUAGCCGACCUGAGAGGGUGAUCGGCCACACUGGAACUGAGACACGGUCCAGACUCCUACGGGAGGCAGCAGUAGGGAAUCUUCCGCAAUGGGCGAAAGCUUGACGGAGCAACGCCGCGUGAGUGAUGAAGGUCUUCGGAUCGUAAAACUCUGUUAUUAGGGAAGAACAAAUGUGUAAGUAACUAUGCACGUCUUGACGGUACCUAAUCAGAAAGCCACGGCUAACUACGUG